rnacentral:rRNA from 1 species
UGGUCGAGUCGGCCUGCGCGGAAGAUGUAACGGGGCUAAACCAUGCACCGAAGCUGCGGCAGCGACGCUUAUGCGUUGUUGGGUAGGGGAGCGUUCUGUAAGCCGUUGAAGGUGGCCUGUGAGGGUUGCUGGAGGUAUCAGAAGUGCGAAUGCUGACAUAAGUAACGAUAAAGCGGGUGAAAAGCCCGCUCGCCGGAAGACCAAGGGUUCCUGUCCAACGUUAAUCGGGGCAGGGUGAGUCGACCCCUAAGGCGAGGCCGAAAGGCGUAGUCGAUGGGAAACAGGUUAAUAUUCCUGUACUUGGUGUUACUGCGAAGGGGGGACGGAGAAGGCUAUGUUGGCCGGGCGACGGUUGUCCCGGUUUAAGCAUGUAGGCGGAGGUUCCAGGUAAAUCCGGUACCUUUUAACGCUGAGGUGUGAUGACGAGGCACUACGGUGCUGAAGUAACAAAUGCCCUGCUUCCAGGAAAAGCCUCUAAGCAUCAGGUAACAUCAAAUCGUACCCCAAACCGACAC